rnacentral:rRNA from 1 species
UACGGGGGGGGCUAGCGUUGUUCGGAAUUACUGGGCGUAAAGGGCGCGUAGGCGGUCUGCUAAGUUGGAUGUGAAAACUCUGGGCUUAACCCAGAGCCUGCAUUCAAUACUGACAGGCUAGAGUUCUGGAGGGGAUAGCGGAAUUCCUGGUGUAGCGGUGAAAUGCGUAGAUAUCGGGAGGAACACCUGUGGCGAAAGCGGCUCUCUGGACCACAACUGACGCUGAGGCGCGAAAGCUAGGGGAGCAAACAGG